rnacentral:rRNA from 1 species
UGCAGUCGAGCGGAACGAGUUAACUGACCCUUCGGGUGACGUUAACGGCGUCGAGCGGCGGACGGGUGAGUAAUGCCUGGGAAAUUGCCCUGAUGUGGGGGAUAACCAUUGGAAACGAUGGCUAAUACCGCAUAAUGCCUUCGGGCCAAAGAGGGGGACCUUCGGGCCUCUCGCGUCAGGAUAUGCCCAGGUGGGAUUAGCUAGUUGGUGAGGUAAUGGCUCACCAAGGCGACGAUCCCUAGCUGGUCUGAGAGGAUGAUCAGCCACACUGGAACUGAGACACGGUCCAGACUCCUACGGGAGGCAGCAGUGGGGAAUAUUGCACAAUGGGCGCAAGCCUGAUGCAGCCAUGCCGCGUGUGUGAAGAAGGCCUUCGGGUUGUAAAGCACUUUCAGCAGUGAGGAAGGCGGGUACGUUAAUAGCGUAUUUGUUUGACGUUAGCUGCAGAAGAAGCACCGGCUAACUCCGUGCCAGCAGCCGCGGUAAUACGGAGGGUGCGAGCGUUAAUCGGAAUUACUGGGCGUAAAGCGCAUGCAGGUGGUUCGUUAAGUCAGAUGUGAAAGCCCGGGGCUCAACCUCGGAACUGCAUUUGAAACUGGCGGACUAGAGUACUGUAGAGGGGGGUAGAAUUUCAGGUGUAGCGGUGAAAUGCGUAGAGAUCUGAAGGAAUACCGGUGGCGAAGGCGGCCCCCUGGACAGAUACUGACACUCAGAUGCGAAAGCGU